UGGGGAAUAUUGCACAAUGGGGGAAACUCUGAUGCAGCGACGCCGCGUGAACGAAGAAGGUAUUCGUAUCGUAAAGUUCUGUCCUAUGGGAAGAUAAUGACAGUACCAUAGAAGAAAGCUCCGGCUAAAUACGUGCCAGCAGCCGCGGUAAUACGUAUGGAGCGAGCGUUGUCCGGAAUUAUUGGGCGUAAAGGGUACGCAGGCGGUUUAAUAAGUCGAAUGUUAAAGAUCGGGGCUCAACACCGUAAAGCAUUGGAAACUGAUAAACUUGAGUAGUGGAGAGGAAAGUGGAAUUCCUAGUGUAGUGGUGAAAUACGUAGAUAUUAGGAGGAAUACCAGUAGCGAAGGCGACUUUCUGGACAAAAACUGACGCUGAGGUACGAAAGCGUGGGGAGCAAACAGG
rnacentral:rRNA from 1 species